AUUGAACGCUGGCGGCGUGCUUAACACAUGCAAGUCGAGCGGCAGCGCGGGAGCAAUCCUGGCGGCGAGCGGCGAACGGGUGAGUAAUGCUUCGGAAUCUGCCCUUCAGUGGGGAAUAACCAGUCGAAAGACUGGCUAAUACCGCAUACGAACUGAGGUUGAAAGCAGGGGAUCGCAAGACCUUGCGCUGAUGGAUGAGCCGAAGUCGGAUUAGCUUGUUGGUGGGGUAAUGGCCUACCAAGGCGACGAUCCGUAGCUGGUCUGAGAGGACGACCAGCCACACUGGGACUGAGACACGGCCCAGACUCCUACGGGAGGCAGCAGUGGGGAAUAUUGGACAAUGGGGGCAACCCUGAUCCAGCGACGCCGCGUGUGUGAAGAAGGCCUGCGGGUUGUAAAGCACUUUUAGUGGGGAGGAAGGUCUGCGACCUAACACGUCGUGGAAUUGACUUAACCCACAGAAAAAGCACCGGCUAACUCUGUGCCAG
rnacentral:rRNA from 1 species